GAGGAACGCGUGGACAACCUAACCCCGGCCGUGGGGGAGUACCCGCCAGAAAUGGCGGCUAAUACCGCGUACGGUUCUCUGGCGAGAGGCUGGGGAAAGAAAGCAGUGAUGCGCGCUGGGAGGGGUCUGCGACCGAUUAGCUUGUUGGCGGGGUAACGGCCCACCAAGGCAGUGAUCGGUAGCUGGUCUGAGAGGAUGAUCAGCCACACGGGGACUGAGACACGGCCCCG
rnacentral:rRNA from 1 species